UACGGGGGGAGCAAGCGUUGUUCGGAUUUACUGGGCGUAAAGGGCGCGUAGGCGGUAGCACAAGUCAGUUGUGAAAUCUCCGGGCUUAACUCGGAAAGGUCAACUGAUACUGUGCGACUAGAGUGCAGAAGGGGCAACUGGAAUUCUCGGUGUAGCGGUGAAAUGCGUAGAUAUCGAGAGGAACACCGGCGGCGAAGGCGGCUGCCUGGACCAGUCCUGACGCUGAGGCGCGAAAGCUAGGGGAGCAAACAGG
rnacentral:rRNA from 1 species